UACGAGGGGGGCAAGCGUUGUUCGGAAUUAUUGGGCGUAAAGGGCGCGUAGGUGGUGCGGUAAGUCACCUGUGAAAUCUCUGGGCUCAACUCAGAGUCUGCAGGCGAAACUGCCGUGCUGGAGUAUGGGAGAGGUGCGUGGAAUUCCCGGUGUAGUGGUGAAAUGCGUAGAUAUCGGGAGGAACACCAGUGGCGAAGGCGACUUCUUGGCCUGUUCUUGACGCUGAGGCGCGAAAAGCUGGGGGAGCAAACGGGG
rnacentral:rRNA from 1 species